rnacentral:rRNA from 1 species
GUGGGGAAUAUUGGACAAUGGGCGAAAGCCUGAUCCAGCCAUGCCGCGUGUGUGAAGAAGGUCUUCGGAUUGUAAAGCACUUUAAGUUGGGAGGAAGGGCAGUAAGUUAAUACCUUGCUGUUUUGACGUUACCAACAGAAUAAGCACCGGCUAACUUCGUGCCAGCAGCCGCGGUAAUACGAAGGGUGCAAGCGGUAAUCGGAAUUACUAGGCGUAAAGCGCGCGUAGGUGGUUUUGUAAGUUGGAGGUGAAAUCCCCGGGCUCAACCUGGGAACUGCCUCCAAAACUGCAUGACUAGAGUACGGUAGAGGGUAGUGGAAUUUCCUGUGUAGCGGUGAAAUGCGUAGAUAUAGGAAGGAACACCAGUGGCGAAGGCGACUACCUGGACUGAUACUGACACUGAGGUGCGAAAGCGUGGGGAGCAAACAGGAUUAGAAACCCGUGUAGUCC